rnacentral:rRNA from 1 species
UACGGGGGGGGCAAGCGUUGUUCGGAAUUACUGGGCGUAAAGGGCUCGUAGGUGGCCAACUAAGUCAGACGUGAAAUCCCUCGGCUUAACCGGGGAACUGCGUCUGAUACUGGAUGGCUUGAGUGUGGGAGAGGGAUGCGGAAUUCCAGGUGUAGCGGUGAAAUGCGUAGAUAUCUGGAGGAACACCUGUGGCGAAAGCGGCGCACUGGACCAUAACUGACGCUGAGGCGCGAAAGCUAGGGGAGCAAACAGG